GGGCCCAUAGCUCAGUGGUCAGAGCAGGCGGCUCAUAACCGCUCGGUCCCAGGUUCAAGUCCUGGUGGGCCCACCA
rnacentral:tRNA from 1 species